GAGGUGUAGCUCAGUGGUAUAGUGCUUUCCUGGGGUGCAGGAGGCCUGGGUUCAAUCCCUAAUACCCA
rnacentral:tRNA from 1 species